UUUAUGUAACAGUUUUGUCAAAAACAUGAUAAAGUAUUUCGCUGGUAUCUAAUCUAUUCGAACGCGGAACACCAAGUCUGUUGUUUUCAGGGCAUAAUUUGAAAACUUGACGUGUCAUUCGUACGUAUAAAGAAUAAAUAUGGAAAAUAGAAUUGUGAAAAUCGAUCCGAGGCGUAUGACAGUGAUCCCGAAAGAGACUUCAGCUUCUGAUGGCAGUCGAGCAAACGGCCCACACGAUGCGGAGCAAAUAUCUAGACUGCGAGCGUCGCAGUCUCCGAUCGCGAUCUCGCUGAGCCGAUGCCCCACGUGGUCCUCACUCCGACCCCU